UACGGAGGAUGCGAGCGUUAUCCGGAUUUAUUGGGUUUAAAGGGUGCGUAGGCGGACUGUCAAGUCAGCUGUAAAAUUGAGAGGCUCAACCUCUUCCCGCCGUUGAAACUGGUGGUCUUGAGUGGAUGAGAAGUACGCGGAAUGCGUGGUGUAGCGGUGAAAUGCAUAGAUAUCACGCAGAACUCCGAUUGCGAAGGCAGCGUACCGGCAUCCAACUGACGCUGAGGCACGAAAGCGUGGGGAUCAAACAGG
rnacentral:rRNA from 1 species